rnacentral:lncRNA from 1 species
AGGAGAUUUAGGGAAGAAAAUAAGAUAGAAAAGGGGGAGGGGAGGGAAGUUCUGGAGUCCACCAGAUGUCAAGACAAAGUUUUCAUUCCAAAAUACUCUACCCAAACAGUAGAUAUGGGGUGCCAUAUAUAGCCCCCUAUGCAACUACCCAUGAUCCCCACAAAUGAUCAUGUAACUACCCAUGAUCCAACAACAUCAUGGGUCACUAUACUAGCUAAAUACAGUCAAACAAGCCAGCAACUAAUAAAAGACGAAAAUACAUAAGAAAUAAAUGAAAAUACACAAGAAAAAUAAAACUAGGGUGGCCGAAGUGCUAUGCACGCCGGCGACGCCUAUAUACAUGCUGGAAACGGUGGUCUGUGUCCCUACUAUUUGUUCUGUGAUUCGUGCAAGGCUGAUGGAAGUAGAGUCGCCAAUGUUUAAUUCCAUUGUAGUAACAGUACACGGAAAAGGUGGGAGUUUUCAGUUGUUUUAGACACAAAAGGUCACACUCAAUUGUUUUAGACACAAAAAAGGUCACAAAUGAAAAGUCCACAUAAAUGACCAGAGAAAGAGAAUUUCAAAGAAAUCUUUGUUGGAUCUCAAUGGAAAAUAAUCAUUACUACGAAAUCUAGAAGGUCU